UACGUAGGGGCAAGCGUUGUCCGGAAUCAUUGGGCGUAAAGCGCGCGUAGGCGGCCCGGUAAGUCCGCUGUAAAAGUCCAGGGCUCAACCCUGGAAAGCCGGUGGAUACUGUCGGGCUAGAGUCCGGAAGAGGCGAGUGGAAUCCUGGUGUAGCGGUGGAAUGCGCAGAUAUCAGGAGGACACCGAUGGCGAAGGCAGCUCGCUGGGACGG
rnacentral:rRNA from 1 species